rnacentral:rRNA from 1 species
AUCAGCGAUGAUAGCACGUUGAGUGAACCAGUCCCCGAUGGAUCACUGAAGCUGAGCAACAUUGCUCAUGGUUGGUAUCCGGACGGGUGACCAUCUAUACAAUGACGUGCUGUUGACU